AAAAUCGAGCGUGAGGGCGGCGCGUGCGGUUGUGCGAAGAACUAGUAGUGAACAACUAGCGAAUCUGGCGGAAAGACAUGCAAACGGCUUUUGACAGUUCUCGCGUGGAGCAAUUUCCACGAAUUUACUCGCGCAGUUUUUGUGAAAAAUCCGGAAAAUAGUGAAGAAAGUUCUUUAAAAACAAGUGCAAAGGUGUGAGAAAACUCUUAAUGAUAGAUCUUAGUGGUGGCAAGUGAAAAAAAUGAUGUGCAUUGUGAGAAAUUGCAAAAACAGCGACCAGCGAAAUCCUCUGGGGGUGUCAUUUCACAGAUUUCCAGUAAUUUUAGAACUGUGCGCAACUCGUCUGAAGCUUUCAGUUGCACUUGUGGACCGAAAUAAAGCCGUAUGCAGCCUCCACACUUCAAUCCAUAAAAUAUUUCACGGAAAAGUGCCUCAAAAGUGAAGCGCUCGAAGUACGUGCGAUCCUUUGCUAAAGACUCCCUACCAAUCGCAUUCAUUGGUACCACAUCUUUUGAUGGAAAGCAAUAUGCAGAACUACUUGAGUGUGACCAUCUCUGUUCUCACAUGUCACGAUAAAGAGCCUAUUUUUAUUUUAGAUGGAAACAGUCAAUGAGAAUGGAUAUGCAACAUCAUACGGUGUAAGAAAUCCAGGCAAAGGACACAUGAAGAUGUCAAUCGUAUUACCAAAGCUGAUUCGAAAUAAGUUUUGAAAGUAUUAUAGAAACAAAUUCUACUCCAAUGCAACGAAUAAGUUAGAGUUAGCAAUUAUGUUUUAUUAUUUCUUACUAUUUUUAUGCAGAAUUAAGAAAAAUGAUGGACUUGAUCUUUAAUUGUUUCGAAUAAUUAUAAAAAGUAAUGAAUUUAUCCUAAUUUAUAGAUAGCUAUUUUUAAAAUAAAUUUAUUCUCUAUUAAAAUUUUUGUUUUUUUAACCUACUUCAAUUCAAUUUGCAAGUUUGUGGCAAAAUAUUUAAAUUGUGUCUCGUGUUGGAUUCACAUAAUGAUUUAUACUUGAAAUUCUCCUAGAUCUUUG